CUUGUCAUGAUCACACGUUCUAUGCCAGUCGUGCCACGCAGCCAACUCCCAAGAAUGCGGUGGGCGGUGUCCCUUGGAUCAAGAGCCAUUCGAGGAAGCGGAAUAUGUCAGCUACGAUUUGCCUACCAGAACAGCGAACGCUUUGAAAGUUCAUUGCUGGAACGAAGAACAUGGAUGCGAAUUUGAAGGAUCCAUGGAGCUUAUGCUGACACACUACGACAAAGAUUGUACAUU
rnacentral:misc_RNA from 1 species